rnacentral:lncRNA from 1 species
AGUAUGGAGAUUCACCGAUAGUCAAGCAGUCUAUCAGUUUUUGACUGCUGGAAUAUAAACGACUACAACAAUGUACCGUAAAUCUAUACGGGUGCUCUUCGACUGCUUGUCGAAGUCCUUUUUGCCCCAGCCGGUAGGUCUCUUGACGUUACAGAGAACCCCGUACAACCCAAACUGUUAACCUUCAAUACUGCUUUGUACUUACGAUCUCGUAUCCACUGACUGUCUUGUUAGAUUAACCCAAUAAAUUUCAUUCACUCCGCAUACUCAAUCCUAUAGACACCCUUUUAAUCCUUCAAUCACAGACGUAAUUCAAUUUCACAAAACAGUCAAGAGUAUUCAAACCCACUUCAUUUAAAAAUCCCGAUUCACCAUUACAACACUGACUUCAGCAGCGAUUGCCUCAGUCUUCCCAAAACUCUACGAAGAAGAAAAAUCCAAAUCCUAUGUCUUUCCUUCCCCGACCCGAAGCAUGAA